UCUUUUCUUUUGAUAGGAGAGUUUUUAAAACCAGUGUUAUUUUUGUAAGUUUAAGAGAAGUUUGUGUAUUGAAUUUUUUAUUUUUAAUAUUAAAGAGCUUUGUUAAACUUAGACUUAAGUUUAGGUCAUUUUGGGGGUUUAGCUCAGUUGGCUAGAGCAUCGGCUUUGCAAGCCGAGGGUCAAGGGUUCGAGUCCCUUAACCUCCAUUGGGCUUAUGUCCUAAAUCGUGAUUAAGUAUGUUUUUAAGUAACUUUGUUAAAGUAAUUGUUGGAAUGUGAAACAGAGGAAGUUAAAAUUUCUGGGUUAAGUUGAGAUCUGUUGAUAUUAAGAAGAAUCUCUAGAAGCAAAAGCAAGCUUUCGAUAAAACCCGAAGUUGUUUCGCUAAAGUGCAAGGAUUAAACAGGAUUGUAUUUUCCAGUAGCCUAUUUUAUAAACGAUCUGCAUUUAGUAAAUAGUUUUUAGUUAAGAAAUAAUGUAGAUUGCUAAGUGUGAUGCC
rnacentral:misc_RNA from 1 species